UCUUAUGGAUGACCAAAGAAAGCGGUUUCUUGAGAUGGAAACUACUCCUGGUGAAGAUGGUGUGAC
rnacentral:pre_miRNA from 1 species